AGCUCAAUAGAGUGGUGCUAUAUUUUCCAUCUUAUGAUAUAUAGAAGAUUAGCAUGGCCCCUAUGCAAGGGUGACACAUACAAGUUGAGAAAUGGUCCAAAAUAUU